ensembl:snoRNA
CUCUUCGUAUCUUUGGGACUUGUCUGUCAACUGUGGUACAUUCUUGUUUAUUGGCAAAACAGUCAACAGUUCAUUGGUGCCAGAUUCUGACUUGCACAAGUAACAUUC